CACAGAGGUCUCAAGCGUUGUUCGGAUUCAUUGGGCGUAAAGGGUGCGUAGGCGGCGCGGUAAGUCGGGUGUGAAAUUUCGGAGCUUAACUCCGAAACUGCAUUCGAUACUGCCGUGCUUGAGGACUGGAGAGGAGACUGGAAUUUACGGUGUAGCAGUGAAAUGCGUAGAGAUCGUAAGGAAGACCAGUGGCGAAGGCGGGUCUCUGGACAGUUCCUGACGCUGAGGCACGAAGGCCAGGGGAGCAAACGGG
rnacentral:rRNA from 1 species